AGGGUGUAAACGCUGCCGACUUGGUGUUGGAGGCCCUUCGGGGGCAUUCAGUGCCGGAGAGAAGUUGUUAAGUCGGCCACUUGGGGAGUACGUCCGCAAGGAUGAAACUUAAAGGAAUUGGCGGGGGGAGCACCGCAACGGGAGGAGCGUGCGGUUUAAUUGGAUUCAACACCGGAAAACUCACCAAGGGCGACUGUUACAUGAAAGCCAGGCUAAUGACCUUGCUUGAUUUUCAGAGAGGAGGUGCAUGGCGUCAGUGACU
rnacentral:rRNA from 1 species